UGUCGGUCCCCCCGCGUCGCAAGGCCGUCAACCCCGCCAGGCCCGGAAGGGAGCAACGGUCGCGGUUCGAGCGGGCGCCGGGGUGUGGCUGGCAGGG
rnacentral:SRP_RNA from 2 species